rnacentral:lncRNA from 13 species
GUGAGCUCAUCGCUAGCUGGGCUUAUAGGUUAAAUAAAAAGGAAGUUGAGAAUCCAACUGGAUGUAGGUUGCCUGCCUAUAGAGGGCUGGUCCAGGGCUGAGGGGGAGUUGACGGAGGUAGGGAUGGAGAGGGUUAAGUUACACCAGUGGAAGAGAAGGAAAGGCUGAGGUGUUGAUCUCACUGAGAAGUCGCCUGUGCCGCUGAGCAGUGCCCCGGGUAUCCCACUCUCUCUCUGAACGUUUACAAGUCAUCCGUUCAGGACGGGGACUGGGAAACACCGCAGAGGACCGUGAGACCCCAGGAAUUCAGGUUCCCUGACUGUGUACCAAUCAGCAGCGCUAGAGAAGGCCUCUGGAUCCAAAUUUCAAGUCCAACGGAGGCUGCAUCAGUCUGUGCCCAGCCUUGUGUGAAGCAAAAGAGAGAAACAGCAAGAGAGAGACUGAAAGAGAGGAAGAGAAGGAGGAGGGAGGGCUCUCCAAUGAUAACCCUGAGUCGAGCGAGCGUGGAUGGAGGCCGGCGAAGGAGGCGCAUUGCUUAAUGAGACCAUUGCUCUUGUGUUGGGAGGCUUAGGACAGGCAAUUACUGAGGGAUUACCACC